AAGCCCAAAAUAAUUAACACCCUACUAUCAUCCACACCUUCGUCCAACAAAAUCUUCUCACGAUCUCCCUCCCGUUCAUUUUUCUCUCUGAUUCAAAUUCAUUUUUCACAAUCUACAAGUAAUGUAUCUCUGGUUUCUAUCUCUGAUUAUUAUACUACUUUCUCCAAUUUUUUGAGCAAGUACGCGACGGAGAUCUUGGGACCCCAAGCGGCGUGGAGGCAAAGGCAUUGGGCAAAGACAUGGUGUUCACUCAGUACCUUUUGCUAGGCUUUGUAGCAGAGGAUUGGGACCUGGCUGGGUUUUUGGGCUCUGGCAUUACUAUUGAUGCUGCACGUGAAGCUUGGUGAAGCAUUUAGUAGAUUGACGAAGAGAACGGGAGUGGUUGUUCAAUCGGAGACAUCAGCCACCAAUGUGCCAUUUUCUGUGAGCACAAAGGGCGUUUUCCUGACCGCAAUUGGGUACUCGUAGACCAUGGGGUAUAAUUUCAUAGCGCCCAAGCAUAUUAGCAUUGGAUUGUGUACUGUCGAUGAUGGUAGUGUUGUAUUUGUUGAAAGGAAAUAAAAUAUAUAGUUAAUUUUUUGUUAGACGAGUUUUUGAACAACAUCUUGGAGCUAAAAUAUUAUGUCAUCACUUGCACAUUAUUUUCUCUAUGUAGUUCUUGUAUCCUCUCUCCCACUACAAAUUUGAUUGGUGUUUUAUUUCCAGGUUAGACUGGGUAGCAAGCUCUUUGCUUUGAAAACCUUUCCUCGAUCUAAUCUAUGUGUUUUAAUGCUUUUAUUUAUGUGAAACAGCUAGAUUGGUUUUCAGAAAGGGGUAUGGGGAAAAGGUCACGCCCUUCAGUCAAUGAGGAUGUUGCUGGGCUUUCUCAGCUGUUGUAGCUACUGAAGGAAUAAAUCGAAUUUCAACAGGAAAAUUGAUUUCAUUAUCCGAACAAGAACUUGUGGAUUGUGAUACAAGUGAAGAUUUGGGCUGCGAUGGAGGUCUAAUGGAUAAUGCGUUUGAGUUCAUCAUCAAGAACAACGAGCUAACAAUUGAAUCUAAUUACCCAUACACAGGCACAAACCACACCUGCAACAGUGAGAAGGAAUCCUCCCAUGCUACUAAGACUACAGGGUACGAGGAUGUUCCUGCUAAUAGCGAGUCAGCAUUGCUUAAAGCCAUGGCUAAACAACGAGUGUCUUGUUGCCAUUGAUGCUAGUGGAUUCGACUUUUAGUUCUAUAAGAGUGGAGUUUUCACUGGGCGAGAUUGAUCUCGACCAUGUAGGUUGGCUUGAAGAUGCAGACCUUAUUAGUAAGUGUGGUGACAUAGUCGUGCAUUGAAGCCAUCUAUUGCCAUAUGUUGGGUUUAUGGAUAAUUUCUUAUUGUGGUGGAUGGAUAAUUUAAGUGUACUGAUUUAUCAAGAGAAUUGUGCUCUCUUGUUUA